rnacentral:rRNA from 1 species
UACGUAGGGUGCGAGCGUUAAUCGGAAUUACUGGGCGUAAAGCGUGCGCAGGCGGUUUUGUAAGCCAGAUGUGAAAUCCCCGGGCUUAACCUGGGAAUGGCAUUUGGGACUGCAAGGCUCGAGUGCGGCAGAGGAGACUGGAAUUCCUGGUGUAGCAGUGAAAUGCGUAGAUAUCAGGAGGGAUACCGAUGGCGAAGGCAGGUCUCUGGGCUGACACUGACGCUCAUGCACGAAAGCGUGGGGAGCAAACAGG